ACGGGUGAGUAACACGUGGGUGAUCUGCCCUGCACUUUGGGAUAAGCCUGGGAAACUGGGUCUAAUACCGAAUAUGACCACGCUCUUCAUGGGGUGUGGUGGAAAGCUUUUGCGGUGUGGGAUGGGCCCGCGGCCUAUCAGCUUAUUGGUGGGGUAAUGGCCUACCAAGGCGACGACGGGUAGCCGGCCUGAGAGGGUGACCGGCCACACUGGGACUGAGAUACGGCCCAGACUCCUACGGGAGGCAGCAGUGGGGAAUAUUGCACAAUGGGCGCAAGCCUGAUGCAGCGACGCCGCGUGAGGGAUGACGGCCUUCGGGUUGUAAACCUCUUUCACCAGGGACGAAGCGCAAGUGACGGUACCUGGAGAAGAAGCACCGGCCAACUACGUGCCAGCAGCCGCGGUAAUACGUAGGGUGCGAGCGUUGUCCGGAAUUACUGGGCGUAAAGAGCUCGUAGGUGGUUUGUCGCGUUGUUCGUGAAAACUCACAGCUUAACUGUGGGCGUGCGGGCGAUACGGGCAGACUAGAGUACUGCAGGGGAGACUGGAAUUCCUGGUGUAGCGGUGGAAUGCGCAGA
rnacentral:rRNA from 2 species